UGCCCCAUGGCUGAGUUGGUUACAGCGUCCGACUGUUACGGCGUCGAGUCGGGAAAUCGGAAGGUCGUGAGUUCGAGCCUCACUGGGGCAG